AUACCUUUCUCGGCCUUUUGACUAAGAUCAAGUGUAGUAUCUGUUCUUAUUAGUUUAUGUUAGUGAAAAAUUAUAAGAUAAUAAAAUUACAAGAUUAC
rfam:Solanum tuberosum cultivar DM 1-3 516 R44 scf00272_52, whole genome shotgun sequence.